UUCUUAAUUUUAGUUUUAAAUAUUUUAUUAAAUAAAACUAAAUAAGGUUUACUGUCUAACAUUCCUGUACCACGUGUUAUUGAGGGUUAGGGUUAGAAUAAAACUAAAAAUGGUUUACCGUCUAACGUUCCUGUACCACGUGUUAUUGAGGGUUAGGGUUAGAAUAAAACUAAAUAAGGUUUACCGUCCAACGUUCCUGUACCACGGGUUAUUGAGGGUUAGGGUUAGAAUAAAACUAAAAAUGGUUUACUGUCUAACGUUCCUGUACCACGGGUUAUUGAAGGAGGAAAAUUGGUUUAAUGGACAGAAAUUUUGACUGGACAGCACCAUGUUCCUGAAGCAAUGACUGCAAGUUUUACAACAUCUAGCCAUUAUCUCCCUUUACUGCACACACAUGAACAGUAGCGUUGUGCAAUCAGAGGUCGGUACACAUAAACACUCAAAUCAGACAUGGCGACCUACAAUUAAUGAUGAAAUAUGCAGGGUAUUACGUGAAAGACUUGAUAAGAUUACAGAGUUAAAGCAAAAUCAAGCCUUCUAGUGAUGGUAAUUUUUACAGGACAGUGUAGUUUCUGCCUACUCUUGAUCAAGUUCGAGUUGUUGGAUCUUCUUUAAUGUGGACACCAUCUCGUACUCAAUGGACCACCAGUUUUCAUCCUUUUCCUUGCUGAACCAGUGACAUGAGGAAAGCAUCCUGGAAAAUCUCAAGAAACCUUCUCGACAAACACCAAGAUCAAAGUCAGGAUCUCCCGGUUAAUUAUUAUCAUCUACAUAAAUAUCUUUUAUUUUUAGUUUGUGGCCAUAUUAAAUAGUAAAAAAGAAAAAAUAAGAAAUUUAAAAGAAAAUGGUUCAGGUGAUGAUAAUGAGAAAGAUGAUGGAACAUCAGUGUCACAGUCGAAUUCUACUCGAAAUGGAAGACAAAACAGAGAACAACAGGUUGAAACAAAUAAAGAAGAAAGCUAAAUAAACCUUAAUUAUUGAACACCUGACCGAAAUGGAAGACAAAACAGAGAACAACAGGUUGAAACAAAUAAAGAAGAAAGGUAAAUAAACCUUAAUUAUUGAACACCUGACCGAAAUGGAAGACAAAACAGAGAACAACAGGUUGAAACAAAUAAAGAAGAAAGCGAUAAAGAAGAAAAUACAGAUGAGGAAGAGAUGCCACCACCUAAACGUCAGAGAAAGAAUGUGGGCCGUAAAACUGGUGAUCUAGAUUCAUCGUUAGAUUUAGGGGAUGACGAGAUUACAUCAUCAUCUUCUACGAUAGUUAAAAGGUCAGCUAGAAAGAGAGGAAGUGUAAGAACAGCGACACCAAGUAAACCUAUUUUGCCUAAAAUAACUAGAAAUACGUCCAAUGAGAGUUAUGAUGGUGGUCGAGGUCGGAUGAGUAAAAGUAGUUCUAAUAAUUCUAAUGUAUCUAAUAUAGAUCCUGAAGAUUUGUUCAGUGUUUUGUAGACUUAUUUAUCAGACAGAAUAGUACAUAACUGUUUGUAUCUGGUUUAUUUAUCAGACAUUUCAAUCAGUUUCUAAUGUGCUUGAUACUGAAAUUUGAGAGAACAACUGUAAUAAUAGGAGGUAGCCAUUGUUUACGAUUCAGACAUAAUGUUGUGUAUUAAUUGUAUAAUUUGUAUAUAAUACAGGCAUAAUGUUGUGUAUUAAACAUAACCUAAUAUUGUAUAUAUCACAUGAAUAUACUACUGCUAAUAUAAUAGAAUAUAUUGUAUUAACAUGUUUGUUUGUUUGUAUCUAAGACGCCAUGUUGAAUGUC